rnacentral:rRNA from 1 species
UCAGUUGUGAAAGUUUGCGGCUCAACCGUAAAAUUGCAGUUGAUACUGGAUAUCUUGAGUGCAGUUGAGGCAGGCGGAAUUCGUGGUGUAGCGGUGAAAUGCUUAGAUAUCACGAAGAACUCCGAUUGCGAAGGCAGCCUGCUAAGCUGCAACUGACAUUGAGGCUCGAAAGUGUGGGUAUCAAACAGGAUUAGAUACCCUGGUAGUCCACACGGUAAACGAUGAAUACUCGCUGUUUGCGAUAUACAGCAAGCGGCCAAGCGAAAGCGUUAAGUAUUCCACCUGGGGAGUACGCCGGCAACGGUGAAACUCAAAGGAAUUGACGGGGGCCCGCACAAGCGGAGGAACAUGUGGUUUAAUUCGAUGAUACGCGAGGAACCUUACCCGGGCUUAAAUUGCAGAUGAAUUACGGUGAAAGCCGUAAGCCGCAAGGCAUCUGUGAAGGUGCCGCAUGGUUGUCGUCAGCUCGUGCCGUGAGGUGUCGGCUUAAG